GCCAUCUUGUCGGCUCCUUGGAGGACCUGAGCUAGCACAAGAAAACAGGAGGGCCCAGAAGACACACUAUUAACCAGGACCACAAGGAAUGUGCUGGUGAGAGAAAAACCAGCACCACCAAGAAGUUCAAUGGUCGCUCUCAUCUGCAAGCUAGGGCUGACAGAAGAGGUUUCUCCUGAGGAAGAAACAUCCACAAGAACCACGGAGAACCUGCUACCUGAACUCCUAUGGAGAAGUAGGUUCAUUCGUAUGUUACCAAAAUGAACUUAGUCUUGGCUAAUAAAUGCAGUGUGGCCCACAUAAAAGAAGAUAUAAAGUUGGGAACCAGUACCACCAACUCUGAAGCCCUUGGAAUUUUCUGGGAGUCCUCUUCAUCCUUCUCACACAAGCCUCCCUCUGCCUCCUCAUCCUCUGCUAGGCUCUUUCUUCGGUCUCAAGUCUGGCAACUACAAGGCUUGUAGUUCUGUGA